UUUCCCUCUGCCCAUUAGCGGUGGCCAUCCAAGGUAAGAGGUGCCAAAGGCACCCGCCACCGCCUUCCGCAAGGAAGAGGGCAGAGGGGGAGGU
rnacentral:ncRNA from 1 species